UUGCAUGGCUGUCGUCAGCUCGUGUCGUGAGAUGUUGGGUUAAGUCCCGCAACGAGCGCAACCCUCAUCCUUAGUUGCCAUCAGGUAAUGCUGAGUACUUUAAGGAAACUGCCAGUGAUAAGCUGGAGGAAGGUGGGGAUGAUGUCAAGUCAUCAUGGCCUUUAUGGAGUGGGCUACACACGUGCUACAAUGGUGUCUACAAUGGGCUGCAAGGUGCGCAAGCCUAAGCUAAUCCCUAAAAGACAUCUCAGUUCGGAUUGUACUCUGCAACUCGAGUACAUGAAGUUGGAAUCGCUAGUAAUCGUGGAUCAGCAUGCCACGGUGAAUACGUUCUCGGGUCUUGUACACACUGCCCGUCACGCCAUGGGAAUUGGUUUA
rnacentral:rRNA from 1 species